rnacentral:rRNA from 1 species
AUGGGGGCAUCUCUCAGCUUCCCCAGCAACGGGAAGCAAACUUUGGAGCACAAGGAAGCGUCGAAAUCAGGUUCCUCGAAGAAGCUUCGCCCUGGUCAUUACCACCCGAGGCUGAUUCCUGACCUCCCGGAUGAGAUCUCCCUGCAAAUCCUCGCGAGGAUGCCAAGGGUGUGGUAUCUUAGCAGCAAGAGGGUUUCACGGAGCUGGAAGGCCACCAUCACUGGCAUGGAGUUGUAUCGCGUGAGGAAGGAGCUUGGUGUGGAUGAAGAAUGGAUUUACAUACUGACCAAGGCGGCCAAUGGCAAGCUGUCAUGGCACGCUUUUGAUCCGCUUUGCAGCCGAUGGCAGAGACUGCCGCUCAUGCCUGUGGUUGCUCGUGGGGGAAGCCGUUUAGGGGGUUUGGUGAGUGCUGGGAUUAGGAUCUCUGGUGUCAUUAGAGGCUUGCUUGGCCAAGAGGAUUGGUUAGACAAGAUUCCCUUCUGUGCUUGCGCUGUUGGAACGGUCGAUGGAUGCCUCUAUGUUCUGGGUGGGUUCUAUAGAGCCACAGCAAUCAAAAGCGUGUGGAAGUAUGAUCCAGCUGUAAAUCUGUGGCAGGAAGUAAACUCGAUGAGCACCGCGCGAGCGUUUGGCAGGACUGGCCUGUUGAACAACAAGCUGUACGUUGUUGGCGGUGUCAUCAGGGAAGAAACUGGAUUGGCUCCGCUUCAAUCUGCUGAAGUGUUUGACCCAGCCACAGGAAUCUGGGCAGAUGUGCCAAGCAUGCCCUUCUCUAAAGCACAAACUCUGCCGACUGCAUUCCUGGCAGACUUACUGAAGCCGGUUGCUACAGGAAUAGUCUCAUUUGGAGGCAAGCUGUAUGUGCCUCAGAGCCUAUAUUCCUGGCCAUUCUUUGUUGAUGUUGGCGGGGAGGUGUUCGAUCCUGCGACGGACUCAUGGUCAGACAUGCCUGUAGGCCUGAGCGAGGGUUGGCCUGGGAGGCAAGCCGGGACAAAAUUAAGUGCUGUUGUGGAUGGGGACCUAUAUGCUUUGGAGCCCCCAACUUGUUCUGAUAGUGGCAAGAUAAAGAUGUACGAUCCCAACGAGGAUACAUGGAAGGCUGUUGUUAGCCAGGUGCCUGUUGGUGACUUUGCAGAGUCAAAGUGUCCGUACUUGCUUGCGGGGCUUCUUGGGAAGCUCCAUUUGGUCAUCAAGGAUGCAAAUAGCAUGAUCAGCAUCCUGCAAACGGACGCUCUAAAGCCUAUGGAUGCAACUGGCUCGACAUGCCAAAACCCAGAUGUCUCUUGGGAGCAAGACGUCGAUAUUUGGAGAAUGGUUGGCUCAAAGAAAUUUGCGGCUGCCGAACUUGUUAGCUGCCAGGCGCUCAGCAUAUGA